rnacentral:rRNA from 1 species
CCGGGGUGCUACCUGCCGUUUAACGGAGCACGGGAGCAAUCCUGGUGGCUUACUGGCGAACGGGUGAGUAAUAUAUCGGAACGUGCCCAGUCGUGGGGGAUAACGCAGCGAAAGCUGUGCUAAUACCGCAUACGAUCUACGGAUGAAAGCGGGGGAUCGCAAGACCUCGCGCGAUUGGAGCGGCCGAUAUCAGAUUAGCUAGUUGGUGGGGUAAAGGCCCACCAAGGCGACGAUCUGUAGCUGGUCUGAGAGGACGACCAGCCACACUGGAACUGAGACACGGUCCAGACUCCUACGGGAGGCAGCAGUGGGGAAUUUUGGACAAUGGGCGCAAGCCCGAUCCAGCAAUGCCGCGUGCAGGAUGAAGGCCUUCGGGUUGUAAACUGCUUUUGUACGGAACGAAACGGUGAGCUCUAAUAAAGUUUGCUAAUGACGGUACCGUAAGAAUAAGCACCGGCUAACUACGUGCCAGCAGCCGCGGUAAUACGUAGGUGCGAGCGUUAAUCGGAAUUACUGGGCGUAAAGCGUGCGCAGGCGGUUAUGUAACGACAGAUGUGAAAUCCCCGGGCUCAACCUGCGGACCUGGCAUUUUGUGACUGCCAUAGCUAGGAGUACGGUAGAAGGGGAUGGAAUCUCCGCGUGUAGCAGUGACAAUGGCCGUAGACUUGCCGGAGGAACACACGAUUGGCGAAGGCAAUACCCUGAACUGUACUGCGGCUCAUGCACCAACCCUUGGACCAACACGGAUUAAUCCCCUGUUAUCCAGCCUAAAAAUUCAC